GUGGCAAUAGAAGGUAUAAGAGGAUCAUCUUAUCAGGGAGACAUUGCUAUUGACGAUAUAUCUGUCACCAAAGGACGAUGUGCCAGCACAGCUCCCCCGACCCCUCCAAAACCAUCAACCCCACCACUACCUACACAAUCACCAGGUCAAUGUGGAGUAUCAUCAGUUACUAGGAUAAUUGCUGGGGUCGAUGCUAGACCAGGAUCAUGGCCAUGGCAG